GAUGAACGAUGGCGGCGUGCCUAAUGCAUGCAAGUCGAGCGAAGCGGGGACGGGUGAGUAACACGUGGCAAACCUCCUAUAACAGUGGGAUAACUUUGGGAAACCGUAGCUAAACCGGAUAUAUAUAGAUGUAUCCUCGCGGCAUUGGCUAUUUGGUAAGGUAACGGCUUACCAAGGCAACGAUGCAUAACGGAACUGAGAGGGUUAUCGGCCACACUGGAACUGAGACACGGUCCAGGCUCCUACGUGAGGCAGCAGUAGGGAAUCUUCCGAAAUGGGCGAAAGCCGGACGGAGCAACGCCGCGUGAGUGAUGAAGGUCUUCGGAUCGUAAAACUCUGUUAUUAGGGAAGCGGUACCUAAUCAGAAAGCCACGGCUAACUACGUGCCAGCAGCCGCGGUAAUAC
rnacentral:rRNA from 1 species